rnacentral:rRNA from 1 species
CAAUAGCGUAUAUUAAAGUUGUUGCGGUAAAAAAGCUCGUAGUUGGAUUUCUACCGAAGAUAGCCGGUCGGGACUUCGACCUUGUAUCUGGUUUUGUCUUUGGUAUCCUCAUAGGGAACGUUUCUGCGCUUUAUUGCGUGGUGCGGUAUCUAUGACUUUUACUUUGAGGAAAUUAGAGUGUUCACGGCAGGCAAACGCCUUGAAUAUAUUAGCAUGGAAUAAUAACAUAGGAUCUUCGUCCUAUUUUGUUGGUUUCUAGGGCUAAGAUAAUGAUUAAUAGGGAUAAUUGGGGGCAUCUGUAUCAACGCGUCAGAGGUGGAAUUCUUGGAUUGCGUUGCGACAAACUACUGCGAAAGCAUUUGCCAAGGAUGUUUUCAUUGA